ACUAGCUUGCUAGUUGCUGACGAGUGGCGGACGGGUGAGUAACGCGUAGGAAUCUACCGAGUAGUGGGGGACAACAGUUGGAAACGACUGCUAAUACCGCAUAAUCCCUGAGGGGGAAAGGAGGGGAUCUGUUUACAGACCUUUCGCUAUUUGAUGAGCCUGCGUGAGAUUAGCUAGUUGGUGAGGUAAUGGCUCACCAAGGCGACGAUCUCUAGCUGGUCUGAGAGGAUGAUCAGCCACACUGGAACUGAGACACGGUCCAGACUCCUACGGGAGGCAGCAGUGGGGAAUAUUGCACAAUGGGGGAAACCCUGAUGCAGCCAUGCCGCGUGUGUGAAGAAGGCCUUCGGGUUGUAAAGCACUUUCAGCGAGGAGGAAAGGAGUAUGUUUAAUAAACGUGCUCUGUGACGUUACUCGC
rnacentral:rRNA from 1 species